AUGUGUGUUGCUGAAACAGGCAAGCCUCUCAGAUGUCUCCUACCCUGCAACACCUGUGUUUAUGGCCAGAGAACUGGAAUGAGGAAUCCUUCACCCAGUAGCAGUGGCCCUGACACCAGCCAGACUCUGCAGGUUGUGUAUGCUGAGCUGGGCAGGCAAUAAGGGAAUAAUGAACAGCACUGAGCUGCAAAGAGGAGCCUUCCAAAGCUGGGCUGUGCUACCAUGUGGGUGUGACACCUCAAGAGCAGCAAAACUUUGGUGUCUUGCUUGACCAGCUGUAUUCCAAAUGCAGGCCUGGAUACAGACUCUGCAAGAGAGGUUUGGAAAAGCUGCAAGGAGAAGGUUCUUGCCUUAUUGCCCUUUCACUGCAGGAGCUGAGAUUGUGCAUUAAGUGAACUCUGCAUUUUGUACUGUGUUUAAAGGGAGAGUCAGUGCCUACUUUGUAGUCCGACCUAAACUCAAAAGUCAUUUCAAUCUUUUGAAAGUUACAUUAAAAAAUACUAAAGCAAAAUUUUCCAUAUCUCUUAGUUAAUAGCCAAAGUUUUUUAGUAAUUUACCAAACCUAUUCAAUUCCCAUGUUAGAGCCUCUACUUCUGACAAGAAGUGGGAAAAGGCACUGCCAAGGUAGGGGCAGAACUGCAUGCCAGAAUGUUCUUAAUUAUCACAAGGGAUUUUGUUUCCCCUCAGUCUUGCAUGUUAAAAUCUAAUAAAAUUUUAAAAUUUAACAGGAAAUAUCUAUCCCACGGACACAUAUUU
rnacentral:lncRNA from 1 species